GGGGCAGGGGGCGCGGGGUGCCUCCUCGGCCUCGGCUCUCCCCGCCCCGGGGCGCCCCGAGACCGCCGCCUGCCUCCGCGGGCAGCUUUGUUCUUCUUUCCUCCAACUACCUGUCUGAGCCGCGGGCCCCAGAGGCCCCAAAGAGAGGCCCGGAGGGUCUCCCCAGCAGCAUCCGAGGGGCGCUCUCGGGGAGCUAGGGGCCAGAGUCCGCGGUCCCUCCGUGCCUGCCUCCCUCCCCUCGUGCCUCGGUCUUUUGUUGCCUCUACUCCUCGGCACGGCGCAGCCUGGGCUCUCUUCCCCCUCCCGCUUGGGAGUUUGCAGUGUGGACGCUCGGCAAGCACAGGUAUUUCCAUGUAGCUGUGGGAGGCACUGCCAAUAAAUAUAUCUGAAGGGUAGCAUAAAGCUUGGUGAAGAAAUUCAGAAAAAGGACAAUGGAAAAAUAGACUGAAGGUGACAAAGAGCUAAGACCAUGAGUCACUCAUUUUCAGACACAAUCUGUUGGAAGCACCGCGGCGUGCCAUCCUGUUCCCCUUUGUAACCUGCAACAGGAACUGCUCCCCAGUGGGGCAACUGCCUUUUGCGGCCCUCCCUGCAUGGAAUUGACUAAAUAGCAGCAUUCAGACUAUUCGUGAGGAGUGCGCAAAAGGGAAGACACUGAUCCUUGGGGUUUCUGUGAAAUCUUCUUCAAUAUAGACAAACGGAGGAAAAGGCCUCGUGUGGCUGAGAUGAAAUCCACAAUUCCUCCAACACAAGCAAGAGCUCCAUCUCUGCCUGAAGUGAGCAGUUCAGCACUGCUCCCUGGCCUCCCGGCCCUUUUGUUCAAUGACUGCCAAGCACCCUCUCCUUCUCUUAAGAAAAGUCCAAUGGGUAACGAGAUGGCACAGUCCAGCACAGUGUGCUAAUUCACUGGACUUCUACCAGUAAAAAGUUUCCAAAACUCUCUGGAGAAUAAUCUCUUCAGAUUCUAAGGAGGAGCUAGCAGGAUGGUGGGUGAUGGGAUGGUAGGAGAAAAUAUAAACUAUAGAAAAGUGGCUUAAAUGUAAGCAGUGAGUAUCUGGUAGAGAGCAUGGGUCAAACAGGAUGCUGGGACACAGCACAUAAGGCAAAUUCUCCAAACUCAAUCAACAUUUCUCUGAGAUUUUCCUGCCUGCAGCUGUUGCAUUCUGCAGAGAUGGUUUCUGCCACCAAAAGACUCAUGAUCUAUUAGGGGAUGCAGACUUGUGCAAGGGCAGAUUCUACACAAAGCAGACCAAGAAAGGGCUACAUCAGAGAGACAGAGGAUGUGCUAUUGGAUCAUACAACAGGAGGACAUUUUCUGCAUACAAGGUAGAAGCCUUUAGUAUACUAUAAUAAAACGUGCUCAAGACGGACAUUUUGUAUUAUAUAUAGUAUAAAUAAGAAACAUCAGUUUGGGGAAAACAUGGUGAGCAGAGGUAGAAAACUCGGACAUGAAGAUGACUUUUGGGGCACCACCAGCAGAUGCCUGUGGCUGAAGCAGAAGAUAGAUGCAUUCUCAAAGUUUCAGCCUGCUCACAGAUUGGCCACUGCACAUUUCGUGUAUCUAUUUAAUAUUGCCUGGAAAUCUCCAAAGGUUUUACCGAACACCACUUGUUUACUUUGUACCUUGUUUACUUUGCCCAAGUGACAAGUGAGAAACAGGAUUAACCACUUGAGCUCCCCCAAAAAUCGCGUGCCAUGCCAACAGGAAGGAGCUGGUCUGAAGAGGCUUCCUCCCCCAUCUACGUCACUUGCAACACACUCCUGGAGUGGGGUUCUCAUCUAAUUUGAGCAAGGAGACUCUCAGCCCUUGCUACACUAACUAAAACAGGAGUGUCACGCAUGGUCCCUGGUCUCCAACUGCAGUCCAGGUUGUGGAUAGUUAAUGACAGCCAUAAAUGGUCGAGCACAUAUGCCUUAGUCUAAAGAUACUUUCAGACAUGAACAACAUCACUGCAGCCAGGGGAAGACUCCAGGAGGAUGUGGGACUUGUGCCUGGCACUGAGGGGAAAUAAUAUUCAAAACAGCAGAAAAAGUUUUCUUUUGUCUUUAAAUUCGUCAAUUUAAAAAACUGUCUAUAAAAAAA
ensembl:lncRNA novel transcript, antisense to L3MBTL4